rnacentral:lncRNA from 1 species
UGAGAGGAUAUCAACAUAUACAUUCAAAUUGAACAUCUUAAUACCUGAUGAUCAUCACAAAAAAACUACAAAGUACUUAUUGACUGGCAAAGACAGAAAAACCUUGGACCACAUUGAAGUGAAAAAUUUAAAUACAAUUAAUUUCUUCUUCUGGUUUUUAAGUAUAUUAAGUGUCAGUUCAGCAUCAUAAACAUCAUUUCCUUCUUUGUGGACAGGAUAAUUGGCCAAAGGAUCUAGGAUUUUGUCAACCUAUAGAACUAUCUACACCUAUAAAGAUCUCAAAGACUUACUUGCCAGAGGUAAAUAAUGCUGAAAUGACUUGCCCAAGAACAUAUGGCAGUUCCAUCUUCCAGAGUAUGUGCCUUCCGCACUUUUUUAUCCACUGUGUCCGGCAAUAAAGCAACCAAAGAAGAUCCAACAAAUAUGUUGAGGACCUUUACUCUAAAUCUAUUAAAGUUGGAUUCUAAUGCUUCCUUUUUACUAUUCUUUGUUCGAACAACCUGACCUGUUCACUUCCAUUUCCAUUGAAUCAACAAACAUUUAUUAAACAUUAUUAUGCACCAGGCACUGUGCAAGAAUACAAAGAAAAAGUGAAACCAGUCCCUGCCUUUAAGGAGCUUACAUUAUAAGAUACAUGUAUGGGUAUAAGCAAGAUACAUACAAAGUAGAUACAAAGUAGCUCUAGAAGGAAAGGCACUAUAUUUUCUCCAUAAAUUUUUCUCUAGUCUUAGUAAUAUAUGUCUUCUUUCACAACAUGGCAAACAUGUUAAUAGGUAUUAUGUGAUAAUAUAUGUACAAUCUAUAUUAUAUUACCUACCCUCUUAGGGAGGAUGAAGGGUUUGAAGGAGGGACAUAGCAUGAAUUGACAAAUAUAAGGAAAC